CGGCAGGUGGCGUGAUUCUCCUGUGGGAGCCGGUGGAGAUUGGCCAGGGGGAACUGGCUCUCUCGCCAUCCUGCUAGAACGGCUCCAUGUCCAUGUGGAAGCGGUACCGCCACACCCUUUCCUGCUGUGGGGAGGCCAGUGGGGAGCCAGAAGGCACUUGUGUGGGAAAGGAUGCCAGGAAUGGAGCCUGGCCACCACAGAGGCGAGCUUUGCAGAAAACACCUCCAUCUGGUCUGCUACUCUGCAUGUGGUACAGUGGUGGAUAGGAAGUUAUGAAGAGAUGGUUUCUGGGUCUCAGCACGAAGAGAUGGUGCCUGGCCAUGAGGAACCUUCAUGUGCACUGAUUGGACAAUAAAUACACAAGCAGGAUGUCGCUAACAAUCACACUUCGACUACCUGCAGCCACACCAAGCUGUUCAGGGCUGGGAACUCAACAGCAGACUCCUGUUCAGGGAAAAGACGUUACGAGGGGCUCAGCGAUCUUCGGCAACACCCUUUGAACCCUUCUUGACACCACAACACACUGGUCAGCAGGAGAGAGGGAAGACGGCCUCGACCACCGUGCAUUUGGACUGAGGCAUCGCAUCAUCGGGGCGGUUGAGGGGUGCAGCCUUCACACCUCCCCUUGGUCUACCUGGAGCAG